rnacentral:tRNA from 1 species
CUGCUCAGUGGGUUAGAGCAUGGUGCUGAGAAUGCCAAGGUUGCAGGUUCGAUCCCUGUACGG